AAACGAAUGAUUGAUUGAUUGAUUGAUUGUUGGUUGCUUAACGUCCAGUGGCAAAUAUUUCAUGCAUAUUCAGGACGAGAACAAGUUCACAAUAAAUACAAUAGGUAGGUUGUUGUAAUAGAGGCCAUCUAGGAUGAUGGUCGGGGAAAUUUGGACUGCCACUGGAAAAUGAGGGUAUAUUGGAUAGGGACAGAAAUUUUGCCUUGCAACAGGCCACCUAUGGACCCCUCAAAGAGUUGUUGCAAGGGUUCUUAACGUGCAAAGAGCGUGGCACUCUCUUUACACGAGGCAUCGGAUUUAACGUCCCCUUCUGACGGACGUGACUGCGAACUUGAUAAAUCCCGCACAGCCAAACGGACGCCCCACUUCAGCAAGCGUUUUACUGCCGGUCGGGAGAAGACCAAGUGACCAUAUUUCUAUACCCCAGUCAC
rnacentral:lncRNA from 1 species